rnacentral:rRNA from 1 species
AGAGUUUGAUCCUGGCUCAGGAUGAACGCUAGCGGCAGGCCUAAUACAUGCAAGUCGAGGGGUAACGCGGUAGCAAUACUGGCGACGACCGGCGCACGGGUGCGUAACGCGUAUGCAAUUUGCCCAUAACAGAGGGAUAGCCCCCGGAAACGGGGAUUAAUACCUCAUAAGAUAUUGAGGAGGCAUCUCUUUAAUAUUAAAGAUUUAUCGGUUAUGGAUGAGCAUGCGUCUGAUUAGCUAGUUGGUGAGGUAAAGGCUCACCAAGGCGACGAUCAAGUAGGGGGUCUGAGAGGAUGAUCCCCCACACUGGUACUGAGAUACGGACCAGACUCCUACGGGAGGCAGC